GACGAACGCUGGCGGCGUGCCUAAUACAUGCAAGUCGAGCGCAGGAAGCUGACGGAACUCUUCGGAGGGAAAGCAGUGGAAUGAGCGGCGGACGGGUGAGUAACACGUAAGGAACCUGCCUCAAGGAUUGGGAUAACUCCGAGAAAUCGGAGCUAAUACCGGAUAGUUCAACGGACCGCAUGGUCCGCUGAUGAAAGGCGCUCCGGCGUCACCUUGAGAUGGCCUUGCGGUGCAUUAGCUAGUUGGUGGGGUAACGGCUCACCAAGGCGACGAUGCAUAGCCGACCUGAGAGGGUGAUCGGCCACACUGGGACUGAGACACGGCCCAGACUCCUACGGGAGGCAGCAGUAGGGAAUCUUCCACAAUGGACGAAAGUCUGAUGGAGCAACGCCGCGUGAGUGAUGAAGGUUUUCGGAUCGUAAAACUCUGUUGUAAGGGAAGAACACGUACGAGAGGAAAUGCUCGUACCUUGACGGUACCUUACGAGAAAGCCACGGCUAACUACGUGCCAGCCGCCGCGGUAACAC
rnacentral:rRNA from 1 species